AAUAUUGGACAAUGGGGGCAACCCUGAUCCAGCCAUGCCGCGUGUGUGAAGAAGGUCUUCGGAUUGUAAAGCACUUUAAGUGGGGAGGAAGGGCUUUAGGCUAAUACCCUUAAGUUUUGACGUUACCAACAGAAUAAGCACCGGCUACAUCUGUGACAGCAGCCGCGGUAAUACAGAGGGUGGAAGCGUUAAUCGGAAUUACUGGGCGUUAAGCGCGCGUAGGUGGUUCAGUAAGAUGGGGAGGAAAUCCCCGGGCUUAACCUGGGAACUGCUUUCAUAACUGCUGAGCUAGAGUACGGUAGAGGGUAGUGGAAUUUCCUGUGUAGCGGUGAAAUGCGUAGAUAUAGGAAGGAACACCAGUGGCGAAGGCGACUACCUGGACUGAUACUGACACUGAGGUGCGAAAGCGUGGGGAGCAAACA
rnacentral:rRNA from 1 species